rnacentral:rRNA from 1 species
AUUGAACGCUGGCGGCAGGCCUAACACAUGCAAGUCGAGCGGAGCGGCGGACGGGUGAGUAAUGCCUAGGAAUCUGCCUGGUAGUGGGGGAUAACGUCCGGAAACGGGCGCUAAUACCGCAUACUAUCAGAUGAGCCUAGGUCGGAUUAGCUAGUUGGUGGGGUAAAGGCCUACCAAGGCCACGAUCCAUAACUGGCCUGAGAGGAUGAUCGGCCACACUGGAACUGAGACACGGCCCAGACUCCUACGGGAGGCAGCAGUGGGGAAUAUUGGGCAAUGGGCGAAAGUCUGAUCGAGCAACGCCGCGUGAGUGAAGAAGGUUUUCGGAUCGUAAAGCGCUUUUAUUAGAGAGGCGGUAUCUACAGAAAAAGCAACGGCUAACUACGUGCCAGCAGCCGCGGUAAUUC